UUUUUGCUUUGUGCUUGUAGGUGUGGAGGAAUGUGGAGAGCGGGUCGCUUGCGUGCGGGAGGAGCACGGCAAGGUUUUGCAGGAAGUUGUAGAGAGGUGAAGUUGAGUGCUGACAAGAGCCUGAGCAGGUACUGCGUGGGCCUUUCCCAGGCAUGGCUGAGGAUGUUAGGUGCUGUGGGUGUCCCCCCAAGCACAAUKUUGGAGUUUGGGAUUGGUGYGGUGCAGGUGAKUGGAACGCCCAUGGCGCUUUGGUGGUGGGURCUCUUGCAGACGAGGCUGAAGCUGACUGGCCUGGGGGUGACCACUUGUGCUCUGUUUUGGCAGGUGAUGAAGGUGAAUGUGGUGRCYGGAGGAAGAUCAGAGAGGAUGYGGCUGCCRUUGAGGAUGCCUCUUGCGGGCAGAUGUUGACCCAGAGCACUGCAGAAGCUAAGUUGAGGGGCCAUGUGUGUUGGUGUGCCUUGACUGCGUGUGUGUGCUGACAGUGAGUGUAGAGUGGAGGGCUCUUCUGGAUGAGUGCUGUGUGUGAGGCAGAGGUGGUGGGGUGUGCAUGGCAGAAGGUGAGGGUGUGCUAGGCAGGGCAGCUCCAGCCUCUGUGUGUGGUGUUGUGUAGUCUAUGUGGUGUGUGUUGUAGCUGUGCUAUCUUUUGCUCAGGUCUUGAUGAUGCUCUUGUUCCUCGUGCUCAAGGAGCAUGGCCCACACUGUGCAGCAGUGGUGCGGUAGGCAUCCGUUGUCUUUUGCCUGGCCUGACUCAUCAGCUUUGUGCCAAUGGAUGGCGUCUUGUUCUGUGCAGCCAGCUAAAAGGGGCCGUCUGUCGCUUUGUCUUUGCAUCAUGGCUGUUUGUGGUCGGUCAUCUCUGUGGUCCUCAUCGAGGCCUCGUUGGCCGCUCCUCUUCUGAGGCCGCYCUUGUUUUGCAUCUUCCUGGCCUCCUUUCAGGGUUUUCUUCCCUGYGUUGUCACGUYSUUAGGUCUUUCUUGCCGACCUCUUCUGCAUUGAUCUGCCUGGCUUUGCCGGGCCCUUUCCGUCACGGGCAGUGGCGUUUGRCUCUUUUCUGGGCUCGCCCAGAGCAUCAGAGCCAUGCGGUUGUGGCCUCAUAGGGCUUUCUGGCUGGCAGUGUCUUCUGUAGUGCCAUUUUUCUUGCAGUGUCUGUGUGUAUGUGUCUGUGGUUGGAGCUGCCUUGUUUGUGGGUGUGGUAAUGGUUGUGGCCAGAGC
rnacentral:lncRNA from 1 species